AUUGAACGCUGGCGGCGUGCCUAAUACAUGCAAGUCGAGCGGACCUUCGGGUUAGCGGCGGACGGGUGAGUAACACGCGGGUAAUCUGCCCAACUGACUGGAAUAACGCCUGGAAACGGGUGCUAAUGCCGGAUAGGCAACUGGUAGGCAUCUACCGGUUGGAAAGGUGCAACUGCACCGCAGAUGGAGGAGCCCGCGGCGCAUUAGCUAGUUGGUGGGGUAACGGCCUACCAAGGCGACGAUGCGUAGCCGACCUGAGAGGGUGGACGGCCACACUGGGACUGAGACACGGCCCAGACUCCUACGGGAGGCAGCAGUAGGGAAUCUUCCGCAAUGGGCGCAAGCCUGACGGAGCAACGCCGCGUGAGCGAAGAAGGCCUUCGGGUUGUAAAGCUCAGUCACUCGGGAAGAGCGGACGAGGGAGUGGAAAGCCCUCGUCGAGACGGUACCGAGAGAGGAAGCCCCGGCUAACUACGUG
rnacentral:rRNA from 1 species